UCGACAUAAAAUAAAAAAGGAAUUCCCAUCAUUUUUCUAAAACGACAGUGUUUUCUACUUUCUCGCUUCCUUUGCUCGCACGUUCAAGUUAUCGAUCUUCCAUCUGACUCUGAAGAACACGGCGAUUCAUCGGCGAACCAGAAUAAGGAAAAGUAAAACUAAAACUUUGAAAAAGAAAACCACAUAGAGGAACGAGAUGAAGAUCGACGUGAAUGCGAUGGCUCGUAGAGUCGAAGUCGAUAAUCGAAUUCCUCUCCGUUAUUAUUAUCGAAUCGCCGAUAAUCUCCUCAAACAGGCGAGCAUUUACCGAGAUGAAAAGAAUAUAGUAGAUUUGUACAUAAUACUACUUAGAUAUUCAAGUUUGGUGUCGGAAACAAUACCAUUCCAUCGAGAUUACCAGGUUUUGCAUCUGAAAGAAAAGGCGGGGUAUAGGAAGAGACUUUUAGCUGUACUCGAUGAGCUUGAAUCCUUGAAACCUGAGGUUCACCAGAGAGUUGAAGAACUAAAUAAAGCUCAUGCAGGGGCUCGAUUUCUUGAACUUCAUGGUCAUGAAACAACUUCCCAUGGCUGGGAGAAGAUGUCACCUUUGGAAUGGUCCCCUGUCAAUGAAGGGUCUAAUAUGAGCUUGGAUAUUAAGCAGCCUGCCAACAUGGCAGUUCAAUCUUCAUGGAAGUAUAACAAUGAUCGUAAUCUAAUUGACAAGCAAUGCCAGAAGUUGUCUCUUAAUAUACCUUUUCCAAAUAAAGAAACUUUGUCUAGACACUCAUUUCUAGGCCCUGAUGGUCUUCGAGGCCAGUGGCUGGGACCAAGGGCAGAGAUAAAGGUUCAAUAUCCUAGCAGUAUGGACUUGGUACCUGCUGAAAAGUCUGGCCCCAAUCAGGCUGGACAAUAUGGUGCUUUGGCUGUAAAAGAUGGUGAUCCAGGAGGGGUUGGUUCUGCUAUGGAGUCAGUGCUAUCCUUAGAUGAUGGUCGAUGGUUACAUCCUGCUGAAGAGUCAUGUCACCCUUUGAUUAGUGAAGCUAGGGAGGAUCCUUUCCAGUUUGUUGGUAUCAGACAACCUUCUCCUCCUCCUGUUCUUGCUCAAGUGCAGCAGGACUUCAUUCCAAUUCCUCCUUCAAAAGUUGCUGAUCCAAGACCUGGUCCAGCUAAGCCUUCUCAAGAUGGAAUGCCCAACUCUAAUUCGUAUCAACAUUUACAUGUUCCAGUACAUAUGAUGGAGGAUUUCUUACGAUUGGCUCGGGCAAAUACAGAAAAAAAUUUGGAAACAUGUGGUGUUCUAGCUGGAUCAUUGAAAAACAGGGUUUUUCACAUCACCACACUUAUAAUCCCAAAGCAGGAGUCGACUUCAGAUUCGUGUUCAACAUUAAACGAAGAAGAAAUUUUUGAAGUUCAAGACAAACUAUCUCUUUUUCCCCUUGGGUGGAUUCAUACACACCCAACUCAGACUUGUUUCAUGUCGUCAGUUGAUCUACACACUCAUUACUCAUAUCAGAUUAUGUUACCAGAAGCAAUUGCAAUUGUUAUGGCUCCAACAGAUACAUCCAGCCCACAUGGUAUAUUUCAUCUGUCUGAUCCUGGCGGUGUAUCCAUUAUUCGUAAUUGUCAGCAACGGGGAUUCCAUCCCCAUGAGGAGCCUUCCGAUGGAACCCCAAUAUACGAGCAUUGCUCUCAUAUCUUCAUGAACCCCAAAAUAAAGUUUGAUGUUGUUGAUCUCCGGUGAGAUACAAAGUGUUCAACCCUCCCUGAUGAAGUAUCAAUGGGAAAAGCUUUUCACAGAAGGAAUUAUGAAAAUAACAGAUUAUCGAAGGAAGCACCUUUAAGCUUCUAGUUGGAGAUCAAAUGCACCCGACCCGUGUCAGAUACCAUAGCUGCCAUGAUCCCAGCAUCAUCAUCGCAGCAAACUUUGAAUGGGGUGACCUGAAAAGGUCCGGGUAAGCGCCUGCUUUUUCCCACGCCUUUGAUCAUGGCGGAAAAGCCAUAUAUAUCUUUUAAUUGGAUUGUAGGUAGUUGUGCAAAACAAAUAAGCUUUAAGGUAAAAGAAGGCAAGCUAUAAUUUUUUUGGGUGAUCAGGUUUAAUUGCUCUCUCCUUCCUGAUGGUGUCCGUCGACGUUGAUAACCCAUCAACAUUUGCCCUGCCUCCCAUGCUGUGGGUAAUGUCAGUUAUAAUGAUGAAUGUACUCAGAAUUUUCUGUAACUUCUCUGGACAGAUCUUCAUGCCAUUUGAGUAUCACUCGUUUUUGCCUCGGUUCAAUAAAAUUUCUCUCCCGUACGGAUAAGAAGUUUUU